rnacentral:rRNA from 1 species
AUUGAACGCUAGCGGGAUGCUUUACACAUGCAAGUCGACCGAUUGGCGGCCGGGUGAGUAAUAUAUCGGAACGUGCCCAGUAGCGGGGGGUAACUACUCGAACGAGUGGCUACUACCGCCUACUUGUGGUGCGGACUGUAUCGGAUUAGCUAGUGGGUGGGGAAAAGGCUCACCAAUGCCACGGUCCGUAGCUGGUUUGAGAGGGCGACCAGCCACACUGGGACUGAGACACGGCCCAGACUCCUACGGGAGGCAGCAGGGGGGAAUUUUGGACAAUGGGGGAAACCCUGAUCCAGCCAUCCCGCGUGUAUGAGAAGGCCUUCGGGUUGUAAAGUACUUUUGGCAGAGAAGCGGUAUCUACAGAAUAAGCACCGGCUAACUACGUGCCAGCAGCCGCGGUAAUA